AUUGAACGCUGGCGGCAGGCCUAACACAUGCAAGUCGAGCGAGCGGCGGACGGGUGAGUAAUGUCUGGGAAACUGCCUGAUGGAGGGGGAUAACUACUGGAAAAGGUAGCUAAUACCGCAUACCAUCAGAUGUGCCCAUAUGGGAUUGGCUUGUAGGUGGGGUAAUGGCUCACCUAGGCGACGAUCCCUAGCUGGUCUGAGAGGAUGACCAGCCAAACUGGAACUGAGACACGGUCCAGAUGCCUACGGGAGGCAGCAGUGGGGAAUAUGGCACAAUGGGGGAAAGCCUGAUGCAGCCAUGCCGAGGGGAUGAAGAAGGCCUUCGGGUGGUAAAGUACUUUCAGCGAGGAGGCGUUACUCGCAGAAGAAGCACCGGCUAACUCCGUGCCAGCAGCCGCGGUAAUAC
rnacentral:rRNA from 1 species